UACGUAGGGGGCGAGCGUUGUCCGGAAUCAUUGGGCGUAAAGAGCGUGUAGGUGGCUUGGAAAGUCUUACGUGAAAGCCUGCGGCUCAACCGCAGAAGUGCGUAGGAAACUUCCUCGCUAGAGUCCGGAAGAGGAGAGCGGAAUUCCUGGUGUAGCGGUGGAAUGCGCAGAUAUCAGGAGGAACACCGGUGGCGAAGGCGGGUCUCUAGUACGGUACUGACGCUGAGACGCGAAAGCGUGGGGAGCGAACAGG
rnacentral:rRNA from 1 species